AGAGUUUGAUCCUGGCUCAGGACGAACGCUGGCGGCGUGCUUUAGACAUGCAAGUCGAACGCGAAAGCCCUUCGGGGUGAGUAGAGUGGCGAACGGGUGAGUAACACGUGGGUAACCUGCCCCUUGCUGGGGGAUAACCGGGGGAAACCCCGGCUAAUACCCCAUACGCUUGCUGGAUCGCAUGGUCCGGUAAGGAAAGGUAGCUUCGGCCAUCCGGUGAGGGAUGGGCCCGCGAUGCAUUAGCUAGUUGGUGGGGUAAAGGCCUACCAAGCCGACGAUCUGUAGCUGGUCUGAGAGGACGACCAGCCACACUGGGACUGAGACACGGCCCAGACUCCUACGGGAGGCAGCAGUGGGGAAUUGUUCGCAAUGGGCGCAAGCCUGACGACGCAACGCCGCGUGGAGGAUGAAGGUCUUCGGAUUGUAAACUCCUGUUGCCCGGGACGAAACGCUUCGACCUAACACGUUGAAGUCUGACGGUACCGGGUGAGGAAGCCCCGGCUAACUCUGUGCCAGCAGCCGCGGUAAUACAGAGGGGGCUAGCGUUGUUCGGAAUUACUGGGCGUAAAGGGCGCGUAGGUGGCCUGUUAAGUCGAACGUGAAAUCCCCGGGCUCAACCCGGGAACUGCGUCCGAGACUGGCAGGCUCGAAUCCGGGAGAGGGAUGUGGAAUUCCAGGUGUAGCGGUGAAAUGCGUAGAUAUCUGGAGGAACACCGGUGGCGAARGCGGCAUCCUGGACCGGUAUUGACGCUGAGGCGCGAAAGCCAGGGGAGCAAACGGGAUUAGAUACCCCGGUAGUCCUGGCCCUAAACGAUGAAUGCUUGGUGUGGCGGGUAUCGAUCCCUGCCGUGCCGAAGCUAACGCAUUAAGCAUUCCGCCUGGGGAGUACGGUCGCAAGG
rnacentral:rRNA from 1 species